UACAGAGGGGGCAAGCGUUGUUCGGAAUUACUGGGCGUAAAGGGCGCGUAGGCGGCCUUCUAAGUCGAACGUGAAAUCCCCGGGCUCAACCCGGGAACUGCGUCCGAGACUGGGAGGCUUGAAUCCGGGAGAGGGAUGCGGAAUUCCAGGUGUAGCGGUGAAAUGCGUAGAUAUCUGGAGGAACACCGGUGGCGAAGGCGGCACCCUGGACCAACACUGACGCUGAGGAGCGAAAGCCAGGGGAGCAAACGGG
rnacentral:rRNA from 1 species